rnacentral:lncRNA from 10 species
ACGAGGGGAAGAAGAAGAUACUUACGCGGUGCAGGGAGCAGUGGGACCGAGCCUCUCUCUCUCUCUCUCUCUCUCUCUCUCUAUCUCUCUCUCUCUCUUUUUUUUCCCCCGGCAGAGAGAGGAAAACACGCGAGUGCACACACGGUGAUAUCUUGCGGGUGAUGAAUAUGAUAAUUGGACAAGGGACGCUAUUCACAGAUCAUCAUCAGCCAGAGGUGACUUCUGUUGCUUGCAGCUCAGAAUCCUAGAUGUUUCCGGUGGCACUGAAGAGCCUCUGCUGAAGCUCUAUACCAUUUGCCAUUUACAAAGGGAAAUGAAAUAAUAACGCUGACCAUUUGUGGAGCACAUUCUGUCUGGAGGCAAAGGAUGCCAAGAUGGGAAAGCCACAUAAUGGAAGGAUCCUGGAUUUCAGAGCUGUCACUUGGAGGAGGGGCACCCAGUGAAGGUGUCUUAUCUAACCCACACCAUAUCUUCAUGAAGUGGCCAUAUGGAUUUGAUCCCUAUCCUUCAGAGGUGCUCAGCCUAAGGGAACACGGAUAGUAGAUUAAGCACUGACCAGGGGUAUAAAUCCUGCCUUCUCUCAGCCUUACAGAGGAAGAAAACCCUUUCCAAGUUUCCUCUGAUACUGGGUUUAUGCCCAAUUAUAGUUUAGCCUUUCUCUUUACUCAUUGGACUCAGAGCCAGCCUUGACAAUGUGCUGAUGGCAACCU